rnacentral:tRNA from 1 species
UCCCUGGGUCUAGUGGUCAGGACUCAGUGCUUUCACCACUGAGGCCCGGGUUCAAACCCUGGUCUGGGAA